rnacentral:rRNA from 1 species
CGUGCAGGCGGGUUGGUAAGUCAGAUGUGAAAGCCCUGGGCUCAACCCAGGAAGUGCAUUUGAAACUGCCAUCCUUGAGUAUGGGAGAGGAGAGUGGAAUUCCCAAUGUAGAGAUGAAAUUCGUAGAUAUUGGGAGGAACACCCGUGGCGAAGGCGACUCUCUGGACCAAUACUGACGCUGAGACGCGAAAGCGUGGGGAGCAAACA